AUGACCACGCCUGCAACAUCUGUCUUGAGGCCUUCUGUGACAGUGAGUCUUGCACGGUUACAAGCUGCAAGCAUGAUUUGCAUCUCCAGUGCAUCCUUGAGUGGUGAGGACCAUGCUUUCUUGCCUUUGCAAUUUGACCAAAAGUUCUGUAACCAUUCGACAAGACCGGCACCUUCGCACCAAGGCGCACAACCGGCUCACCGCAAGUACACCUACGCCGCCGCUUCCCCGGGGGGCUGCAAGGUGAAGUGGACGGCCGAGGAGAAGCCGCACGGGGCUGGGCUCUCAAGUGGGAGGCGGAGCUUGCCUCCCCCCAAUGACGUCAGCUUUGAUCACAAGUGGAAGUUGGAGCCCAAGUCCAAGCCCGGUGCCGCCAACAAGGCCAAGACCAAGCUCGAGGAAGCCAACGAGGAUGACAGGAAUAAGCCGGCGAUGAAGUGCACGCACAUCGAGGAGGUCCUCGCCGGUUGCGACGCCAUCCACAAGGAUGAUGACUAUCUAAUGGUGAUUCCCUAUUCCCACAUUUUUUGCCCUCAUGUUGCAAGCUCUAAAGCUGCCCCUGUAAUUUACCAUCACAAGACAUGUCUGGGCAGCAAGUCUCCUGUGACGAUUACUCUUAAUUCGUCGUUAUAA
rnacentral:rRNA from 1 species